ACUUGGGGCCCUUUAGUUUCGCAUCUGGACCUUCGAUAUUCACAUCAGGAACAUCAACGUCCACUUUGGGAAGGGAAACAUCCACAUCACCCUUCACCUUGGGACCUUUCAGAUGCAAAUCAAAGUCAGGCAUGGAGAUCUUGGGGGCUUUGAUGUUCAUCUCAGGCAUCUUGAAUUUAGGGCCCUUUAGUUUCGCAUCUGGACCUUCGAUAUUCACAUCAGGAACAUCAAUGUCCACCUUGGAUGCAAAUCAAAGUCAGGCAUGGAGAUCUUGGGGGCUUUGAUGUUCAUCUCUGGCAUCUUGAAUUUAGGGCCCUUCAGUUUCGCAUCUGGACCUUCAAUAUUCACAUCUGGAACAUCAACGUCCACCUUGGGUCCUGAGACGUCAAGGUCAGCCUUGGGCAGGUUCACAUCCACAUCUGGGCCCUCUCCUUUGAAGCCAGGCAUGCUGAACUUGGGCAUUUUCACCUUGGGCAUCUUCAGGUGCCAGUCUGGACCCUGAACAUUAACAUCUGGGACAUCAAUGUCCACUUUGGGGCCUUUGAGGUCAACUUCAGGACCUUUCAGAUCUCCCUCUACC
rnacentral:lncRNA from 1 species